CCAGUCUAGAAUAUUGAAAUGACCCAGGUGCAGGAAACAGACAAAAGAGAACUCCAGUCUAGAAUAUUGGAAUGACCCAGGUGCAGGAAACAGACAAGAGAACUCCAGUCUAGAAUAUUGAAAUGACCCAGGUGCAGGAAACAGACAAAAGAGAACUCCAGUCUAGAAUAUUGAAAUGACCCAGGUGCAGGAAACAGACGAAAGAGAACUCCAGUCUAGAAUGUUGGAAUGACCCAGGUGCAGGAAACAGACGAAAGAGAACUCCAGUCUAGAAUGUUGGAAUGACCCAGGUGCAGGAAACAGACGAAAGAGAACUCCAGUCUAGAAUGUUGGAAUGACCCAGGUGCAGGAAACAGACGAAAGAGAACUCCAGUCUAGAA